rnacentral:snRNA from 1 species
AGAGAUUUUUGGAAACGUUU